GGAUCAAUGGAUCGGUCAUGCCUUGGUAUGUACUGGUCUUAUUGGUUCUCACCUUCUAAUGAACCAUAAUGUCAUUCAUUUGAUGUUAUGGGGAAUUAGGACUGUUACCUUGAAAAAAUUAGAGUGUUUAAAGCAGGCUAACGCUUGAAUACAUUAGCAUGGAAUAAUGAAAUAGGACAUCGCAUUCUAUUUUGUUGGUUUCUAGGAUCGAUGUAAUGAUUAAUAGGGAUAGUUG
rnacentral:rRNA from 1 species